rnacentral:rRNA from 1 species
GUGGGGAAUAUUGGGCAAUGGGGGAAACCCUGACCCAGCAACGCCGCGUGAGGGAAGAAGGUUUUCGGAUUGUAAACCUCUGUCCUUGGUGACGAAGGAAGUGACGGUAACCAAGGAGGAAGCCCCGGCUAACUACGUGCCAGCAGCCGCGGUAAUACGUAGGGGGCAAGCGUUGUCCGGAAUGACUGGGCGUAAAGGGCGUGUAGGCGGCCGAUUAAGUCUGGAGUGAAAGUCCUGCUUUCAAGGUGGGAAUUGCUUUGGAGACUGGUUGGCUUGGGUGCGGAAGAGGUAAGUGGAAUUCCCAGUGUAGCGGUGAAAUGCGUAGAGAUUGGGAGGAACACCAGUGGCGAAGGCGACUUACUGGGCCGUAACUGACGCUGAGGCGCGAAAGCGUGGGGAGCGAACAGGAUUAGAAACCCGAGUAGUCC